rnacentral:ncRNA from 1 species
AAGUUUUAUUCUUGCUUACUUAUUUACUUUUUUCUUUGUCUUAUAUGCAAGUUCUUGAUUUACUAAAUGUUCUUUUUGCAGUAAUUUAAUUUAAUUAUCAAGUGAUUUUGGAAUUAGCAAUUGUUUAAGUGUCGGCAUAAUUCGUGCCAGCAGCCGCGGUUAUACGAUUGAUGCAAGUAAAUAUUAUUGGUUUAGACAGUUAUUUUUAUUUUAAGGGUUUAUUAAUAAAUUAAUAAGGUGAAAUUUAAAAUUUUUCUAAGAUUCUUUUUAUGAGGCUGUGAAACUUAAAUAAUAAACUAGGAUUAGAUACCCUAUUAUUUUAAGUGUUAAUUAAGUUUACCAGGGUAAUAUUAGUUAAGAUCUUUAAACCUAAAGAAUUUGGCGGUAUCUCAUUCCGUUCAGAGGAACCUGCCCCGUAAUUGAUAGUACACGAUUAACUCUACUUAAUUUAUUUGUUUGUAUAUCUCCGUUAUCAGAAAAUCUUUUUAGAGUUAAAAUUUUCUUAAUUUAUAAUUAUAAAAUAUUUCAGGUCAAGGUGCAGCUUAUAAUUAAGAGGAGGUGGGUUACAAUAAAUUUUAUUUAUGACGGAUUAAUAUUGAAAUGUUAUUAAUGAAGGUGGAUUUGAAAGUAAUUUAAUUUAUUUAUUAUCUGAUAUGUGUACACAUCGCCCGUCGCUCUCAUUAUUAAUUAUAACUAUAAUUUAAAGUUUAUUGAUUUAAUUAUUAAAUUAGAUGAGAUAAGUCGUAACAUAGUAGAUGUACUGGAAAGUGUAUCUAGUAAGAUUAU